rnacentral:rRNA from 1 species
AGUGUUCUGACUGUGCUAAGGUAGCAUAAUCAUUUGUUAUCUAAAUGAUAACUAGUAUGAAUGGUCUGACGAGAAAAUAACUUUCUAAAAAGAAAUAAUAAAAAUUUAUCUUAAAGUAAAAAAGCUUUAAAAACUUAGAAAGACGAGAAGACCCUAGAACCUGUCUAUCUGCAUAGUUUGUUGGGGUGACAUUAUUUUAAAACAAAUAACUAUUUUAACUCAUUAAGAGACUUAACCUAUCUUUUAAAAAAAAGAAAAAGGUACUCUAGGGAUAACAGCAUAAUCUUCUUUUAGAGCCCUAAUCGACAAGAAAGAUUUUGACCUCGAUGUUGAAUUGAUAUUCCUUCUUAAAGCAGAAUUU